rnacentral:lncRNA from 1 species
UCAUAAUUCAAAAAUAAUUGAGAUCCAUUUUUUAUGUUGUGACUUGGGCUUGCUAGAAAUAACAAAGUCUUCAAUAAUAAAAGUUUGAGCGUCUUGGAGAUUGUUGUCCUGGUGUGUAUCAAACUUGUUCAGUAGAUAAAAACUUUUCACAAGGAUCUUUAGGCUAGCUACAUUCUCAUGAUGUUGUUCAUGGGGGAAAGUAAUUG